UUCCCUCGAAUCAUUGAAGAACGAAGCGAUACCGGUCAGCUAGUGGUCGCUAUAGGUUCCGGCCGUGCAUUGACUUUAACCAAGGCGUCUGUGCUACACGAAGAGUUAGAAGUGAGAACGUUUGAAAGCGGCUUGGAAGUUGUUCAUUUUAUGAAUGGCUCAAGGCUUGAAGAAGAGCUCUAUCAUGAUACUCAGGCGCAAUCUGCCGUCCACAUCACGCGUGGACCAAGACUUACACUCGUUGGAAUACUCAGCCCUACAGAGCGUAUACAGCCUUCAG